GAACGGGGUCGCAAUACCCAGUGGCAGUACGGGUGAGUCACACGUGGUCAACCUACCUCUGUGUGGGGGAUCACUAGCCGAAAGGUUAGCUAAUACCGCAUACUAUCGUUUGGAGGCAUCUCCGAACGAUGAAAGGAGCAAUCCGCACGGAGUAGGGGACUGCGUCCCAUUAGUUAGUUGGUGGGGUAACGGCCUACCAAGUACUCCGAUGGGUAGCUGGCUUGAUAGAGCGACCAGCCACACUGGAACUGAGACACGGUCCAGACUCCUACGGGAGGCAGCAGUGAGGAAUUUUCCGCAAUGGGCGAAAGCCUGACGGAGCGACGCCGCGUGUGGGAAGAAGGCCUUCGGGUCGUAAACCACUGUCGAAGGGGACGAUAUUGACGGUACCCUUGGAGGAAGCCCCGGCUAACUACGUG
rnacentral:rRNA from 1 species